rnacentral:lncRNA from 1 species
GUGCGCGGCGCGGAGCAGCUGUUCUUCGUGCCCGCGCUGGGUCUUACUGCCCCUAAAAUGGCCCCGCCGAAGUUUUAACACAGUCAGCGGGGGCCGGCGCCGGGACUUGCGCCGCCUCAUUAGCAUUUAAAGGGGCCGCACUGAGCUCGCGGCUGCACCGAGUGAGAGGGGGGACGGCGUGGGGAUCGGUCACGGUGAGGUGAGGGGUGCGCACCGUACACGGGUGAGUGUGUCAGUGCUGUGUACAGGUGGCCGUGUGUGCCACAAGAGUGCGGGUGUGAACGCCGAGCUUGUGUGUGUGUGUGUGUGUGCCUGGAACAGGCUGCCCAGGGAGGUUGUGGAUGCCCCGUCCUUGGAGGUGUUCAAGACCAGGUUGGACAGGGCCCUGGGCAACCUGAUCUAGUAAAUGUGUAUGUUUGGUGGCCCUGCCAGGCAGGGGGGUUGGAACUACAUGAUCCUUGAGGUCCCUUCCAACCCAGGUCAUUCUGUGAUUCUGUGUGUGCGUGUGGAGCUGAGCGCCGCGAGUGCAUGCCCGUCUGCGUGGGUACCCGCAGGAACCCCGCUGUGCGUGGGGUUGUGUAUAGAUAGAUACAUACGCACACACGACUGCAGUCGAGAGUCCGAGAUGUCAGUAGGCUCGUGGCCGUGUAUUGCUGCUUGCUCCCACCCGUGUGCAGACAAACCCGCUUCUGUGCUCUGGCGGCGGUGCCUGUGAAUGCGCCUCUGCCCCGUGCUCUGUAUGGCGGAUCAGUUCGUUCUGGACCCGAGUUCGCGUGCGCUCCGUUGGAGACAAACGUCUAGAGAUGAGGUUACUGAUUCUUCCAGUGUUCCAUGUGGGCUUCUCAGGGAAUUGCAAUCCAUGUUUUGGAUCCCCCAGUUUUGGAAAAUAAACACAUUCAAGGCUGAAGAACUGACUUCAAAAUGGAAAACAUUCAUCUUCCCAGGUCUAGUUGGAAAUUGUUCAUAUAUACAUCAUGGAGUCCAUGAACAAAAGGGACAAGGGGUAAGAGAAUGUGUGAAAAGCCAGAAAAAUCAGGAGAGCAGGAAUGAGUGUCACUUAAGGCUCCAGGAUAUUCCUGAAGUAAAAGGUAAGGAGAGUGCAGAGAAGGAGGAGGAAUCAAACAGUCUCCAGGGAAAGCUAAAGGGAAAAAGAGCAAAGGAGAGUGGCAGCUUUCUAGUGUCAGAUUUACAGUCAUGUUAUAUAUAACAUAUGUAAUGUGUAUAUAACCAGUGACCAGGCAACCUUGUUUUAAUGAUUCCGUGACUGAUAGGUCACUUCCCCCUCAAACUGAAUCUAAGAACCAUGUGGUUGAGAGCAGGAUCAGACCAAAGGUUGUUAGAUUUGCCUUAAAUAGUCUAGUGGGCUCAUUGUCAAAACCACAAGUCAGUGUGCAGAGUUCUCAGUAAACAGCAAAGUAGUCACUUCAAUUUUUAGAAGUUAGUUACUUCUCACUUUAAAUAAACUACUUUAUCUCCUUCA